rnacentral:rRNA from 1 species
CGGACGACGCUGGCGGCGUGGAUUAGGCAUGCAAGUCGAACGGUAUCAUCCGUUUCGGGGGUGAGAGAGUGGCGAACGGGUGAGUAACACGUAGGAAUCUACCUUAAGACGGGACAACCCAGGGAAACUUGGGCUAAUACCGGAUGAGAGUGCGAGAGAUUGCAUUUAAAAGGAUGGCGAAAGUUGUCGCUUAGGGAUGAGCCUGCGGUCUAUUAGUUAGUUGGUGAGGUAAGAGCUCACCAAGGCGAUGAUAGAUAGGCGGCCUUAACGGGUGGUCGCCCACACUGGGAUUGAGAUACGGCCCAGACUCCUACGGGAGGCAGCAGUCGAGAAUAGUCUACAAUGGCCGGAAGGCUGAUAGUGCGACGCCGCGUGAACGAGGGAGCCCUUCGGGGUGUAAAGUUCUUUUCUAUACGAGCAGUGCUAUAUAUAUGGAUAGUAUAUAUAGAGGGAUAGUAGUAUAGGAAUAAGCAACGGCUAACUCCGUG